UUGCCUUAGUAACGGCGAGUGAAGCGGCAAAAGCUCAAAUUUGAAAUCUGGCACCUUCGGUGUCCGAGUUGUAAUUUGAAGAAGGUAACUUUGGAGUUGGCUCUUGUCUAUGUUCCUUGGAACAGGACGUCACAGAGGGUGAGAAUCCCGUGCGAUGAGAUGCCCAAUUCUAUGUAAAGUGCUUUCGAAGAGUCGAGUUGUUUGGGAAUGCAGCUCUAAGUGGGUGGUAAAUUCCAUCUAAAGCUAAAUAUUGGCGAGAGACCGAUAGCGAACAAGUACAGUGAUGGAAAGAUGAAAAGAACUUUGAAAAGAGAGUGAAAAAGUACGUGAAAUUGUUGAAAGGGAAGGGCUUGAGAUCAGACUUGGUAUUUUGCGAUCCUUUCCUUCUUGGUUGGGUUCCUCGCAGCUUACUGGGCCAGCAUCGGUUUGGAUGGUAGGAUAAUGACUAAGGAAUGUGGCUCUACUUCGGUGGAGUGUUAUAGCCUUGGUUGAUACUGCCUGUCUAGACCGAGGACUGCGUCUUUUGACUAGGAUGUUGGCAUAAUGAUCUUAAGCCACCCGUCUUGAA
rnacentral:rRNA from 1 species